AUGUGGCCCAGGCUAGUCUCAAACUCUUGGCCUCAAGUGAUCCUCCCACCUCAACCUCCCGAAAUGCUGAGAUUACAAAUAUCAGCCACUACAUCCAACCCUGUAUCCUUCUCUAUGAAAAUGUCACUUCCUUUUAUUGAUAUUAUUUUUCUCAUUUUUCACAUAAUGUUUGGUCUGGAUGCUAAUCCUUGUUCUGUUGCUAACUUCCAUUUGUUCCUCUUAACCUCUCUAGGAUAUGUACUUUCUUUUUUCCUAUUCCUAGAAAGACAUGCAAAUAAUGGAAGAACAACAUGAGUAUCAGCAUUGACAUACAACUAUUAGUUCACUUAAUCUUAAACACUUCAUGUUUUCUGCUCUUUUCCCUAUUUAUUUUUUACCAUUUCUAUUGCAUUGUGGGAAUUUUCUACCUUGGUCUUCUUUUCCUAUAUUCAAGUGUUUACUACUAGAGCUCUUCAGAAAUAAUGUCAAGUUUCACCAAAUUCUUUCCUUCUACUAAUACCUUUUCUCAACUACCUUCCUGCUCCACUCCAUUCAAUUUGCUCCCCUUUCUGGUCAUUAUCAUAGAGGUUGACUCAAACUGGUCCUUUUCCUUUCCUAUCUCUACUUUCAUCUAAAUGAUCCCACACGUUUUCACAAAGAAGACAAGAGAUGUCAACACAUUGCAACAGGAGCAAUUAGAAAUGGGCUUGACGGCUGGCUUGUGUCAUUCUGGACAUCUGAGGAGGAGCCAAAAUUAGAAAUGAGCUGAGUCUGUUUAUGGCUUAGUGCUGCCAGAGGAGUUUUCUCAGUUAGUUCUCUAAGGCUAUAUUUUCUGAGUCAUCUUUCACAGCUCGCAGGCCAAAACUCAUAACUCAUACGCUGUGUUCUCCAUCAAGACACAGUUAAUGUCAGAAAGUGGUUACUCUCCAAAGGAAGAUCUUUACUCAUGUCCUGAUGGACAGCCCACAGAGUCUGUGAAAUGAAGGGCAUAUCGCUCACCUGUAACAAAGUUGCAGUGAAAAUCUAAACCAUAGGGGUGCCUCAAAUAAAAGUUAACUCAUCUUCUCAUUGUCAUCUCUCCAAACCAAUGAUGUACUUAAAAAUGAACCAUGUUAAAAAGACACAUAUAUUGGCAUGGUUCACAGACUCCACGCUAUGUGAAACAGUGACUUCAUGGAAGAAUGGGAAAGUGAGAAACCAUGGGGUCUCUCGGUUAAUAUCUCCCAGGCUUGUUACCUUCUAGAGGUUUACUUUUUAUUGUUCCAUGAAUGUCAAAGAUAGCGGUGUUGUUGGUGUUCUCAAAUCUUGCCACUAAAUUGCACAGAAUCAGUGGGAGGUUAAAACCCAGCUCUUUUAAGCUAACUCAUGAUUUUGAGCUUUCUUCUUUCCAUGAGCCUCUAAAUGCCAAAGUUGUCAGUUGCCUCCCUAGCGUUAAUUAUUAUUAACCAUGCCCUGUUCCCAAUUCUUGGGUCUUAGGUGGAUUUACAAUAAAAACAUUUGCCUGUCCUCAACGCAUGAGGUCACUAAACUGAGCGGUAAUUGUUUUCUUUCUGUCUUCCCCUCUUCCUUUCUUCAUUUCUUUCUUUGGUUUAAAGAAUAGCUUAUAAUUGCAAAGGCUGUAAUAAGGGCGUCACCAGAGAUGGUUACUAUAUUAGUCCAUUUUCGUACCGCUAUGAAGAAAUACCCAAGACUGAGCAAUUUAUAAAGAAAAAGAGGCUUAAUGGACUCACAGUUCCACAUGGCUGGGGAGACCUCACAAUCAUGGCAGAAAACAAAGGAGCAACAAAGGUACAUCUCAGAUGGGGGCAGACAAGAGAAUGUGAGCAGGGAAACUGCCCUUUAUAAAACCAUCAGAUCCCGUGAGACUUAUUCACUCUCAGGAGAACAACAUGGGAAAAACUCACCCCCAUGAUUCAAUUACCUCCCACCAGGUCCCUCCCAUAACAUGUGGGGAUUAUGAAAACUACAAUUCAAGAUGAGAUUUGGGUGGAGACACAGCCAAACCAUACCAGUUACCAAUUAUAGGAUUUUGACUAUAAGCAAGAGUGGGGCCUAGGAGCUUAUUGAUACACAUAAAUCACAGCCCAUUCCACCUACUCUGUUGUUCAAUUGAGCUGCAAACACUGACAUGAAGCUGGGGAUGCUGCAUUAAUGCCACAGUUGAUGCUAACAAAAAAAAAAGGAUGCUGGCCAUGAAAUUUCUUGGAGAGAAGGAAAUAUUUACUGUCUGCAUCAAAAUUUUUUUAAUUCUUUAAAUAUUGCUCCCCAAGCCUGCUGACUUUGCAAGAGAAAGCAGGUUGGAGAGUCUGUUUCUUGUAUUCAAGGUUCUCAAAACAAAUCCAGAUGGGAACAGUAGCGCCACCAAUGGAUGUUGGUAAGCAGUAACUAAUAAAAGCCAGGAUAAAACACCUGGCACAUGGAGGGUGCUGGGUUAAUCACCAUCAACCUAAAGUUAAUAUAUAUUGGCUGCAAUGUUGAUU
ensembl:lncRNA